UGUUUCCUACGGGGCGCAGCAGUGAGGAAUAUUGGUCAAUGGGAGAGAUCCUGAACCAGCCAAGCCGCGUGAGGGAAGACGGCCCUAUGGGUUGUAAACCUCUUUUGUCGGAGAACAAAACCCGGGACGUGUCCCGGACUGCGUGUAUCCGAUGAAACAGCAUCGGCUAACUCCGUGCCAGCAGCCGCGGUAAUACGGAGGAUGCGCUCGUUAUCCGGAUUUAUUGGGUUUAA
rnacentral:rRNA from 1 species